rnacentral:rRNA from 1 species
UGGGAAUAUUGCACAAUGGGCGCAAGCCUGAUGCAGCAAUGCCGCGUGAGUGAAGACGGCCUUAGGGUUGUAAAACUCUUUCGCUAGGGAAGAUAAUGACGGUACCUAGUAAAGAAGUCCCGGCUAACUCCGUGCCAGCAGCCGCGGUAAUACGGAGGGGACUAGCGUUGUUCGGAAUUACUGGGCGUAAAGAGUUCGUAGGCGGACUAGCAAGUUAGAGGUGAAAUCCCAGGGCUCAACCUUGGAACUGCCUUUAAAACUGCUAGUCUAGAGACCGGAAGAGGUUAGGGGAAUACCUAGUGUAGAGGUGAAAUUCGUAGAUAUUAGGUGGAACACCAGUGGCGAAGGCGCCUAACUGGUCCGGUACUGACGCUGAGGAACGAAAGCGUGGGG